rnacentral:rRNA from 1 species
GACGAACGCUGGCGGCGUGCUUAACACAUGCAAGUCGAACGGUGAACUCCGCUUGCGGGGGGAUCAGUGGCGAACGGGUGAGUAACACGUGGGCAACCUGCCCUCAGCCCUGGGAUAACUCCAAGAAAUUGGGGCUAAUACCGGAUGUGACCGCUGACUGCAUGGUCUGGUGGUGGAAAGAUUUAUCGGCUGGGGAUGGGCCCGCGGCCUAUCAGCUUGUUGGUGGGGUAGUGGCCUACCAAGGCGACGACGGGUAGCCGGCCUGAGAGGGUGACCGGCCACACUGGGACUGAGACACGGCCCAGACUCCUACGGGAGGCAGCAGUGGGGAAUAUUGCGCAAUGGGCAAAAGCCUGACGCAGCGACGCCGCGUGGGGGAUGACGGCCUUCGGGUUGUAAACCUCUUUCAGCAGGGACGAAGCGAAAGUGACGGUACCUGCAGAAGAAGCACCGGCCAACUACGUGCCAGCAGCCGCGGUAAUACGUAGGGUGCAAGCGUUGUCCGGAAUUAUUGGGCGUAAAGAGCUCGUAGGCGGUUCGUCGCGUCGGCUGUGAAAUCCCGAGGCUCAACCUCGGGCCUGCAGUCGAUACGGGCGAACUUGAGUUCGGCAGGGGAGACUGGAAUUCCUGGUGUAGCGGUGAAAUGCGCAGAUAUCAGGAGGAACACCGGUGGCGAAGGCGGGUCUCUGGGCCGAAACUGACGCUGAGGAGCGAAAGCGUGGGGAGCGAACAGGAUUAGAUACCCUGGUAGUCCACGCCGUAAACGUUGGGCGCUAGGUGUGGGGGCCAUUCCACGGUCUCCGUGCCGCGGCUAACGCAUUAAGCGCCCCGCCUGGGGAGUACGGCCGCAAGGCUAAAACUCGAAGGAAUUGACGGGGGCCCGCACAAGCGGCGGAGCAUGUUGCUUAAUUCGAUGCAACGCGAAGAACCUUACCUAGGCUUGACAUGCACGGAAAUCCUCCAGAGAUGGUGGGUCCGUAAGGGCCGUGCACAGGUGGUGCAUGGUUGUCGUCAGCUCGUGUCGUGAGAUGUUGGGUUAAGUCCCGCAACGAGCGCAACCCUCGUUCUAUGUUGCCAGCACGUCAUGGUGGGGACUCAUAGGAGACUGCCGGGGUCAACUCGGAGGAAGGUGGGGAUGACGUCAAAUCAUCAUGCCCCUUAUGUCUAGGGCUGCAAACAUGCUACAAUGGCCGGUACAAAGGGCUGCGAUACCGCGAGGUGGAGCGAAUCCCAAAAAGCCGGCCUCAGUUCGGAUUGGGGUCUGCAACUCGACCCCAUGAAGUUGGAGUCGCUAGUAAUCGCAGAUCAGCAACGCUGCGGUGAAUACGUUCCCGGGCCU